ACCUAUGUAGUGAUACAUAGCUGAAAUCUAAGAAGUCAGCAGAAGUCAUAGUACUCUUGCUAAUCGCGAAAGCGGGUGGAAGGAC
rnacentral:ncRNA from 1 species